UUAAAAACUGCUAUUUUUGAAAAGUUUUUCAUUUUUUUGAGAAAUAUUGUAGAUUUGGAAUUGGGUUUGUGAUUUAGAAAUUAUGAUAACAAGAAUAUUUUUGGAUAGAUGAGUAUUCUUUAAGAAUUUUUCAUCAAUAUGUUGAAUUUUUAAAUAAUUUUCUUAAAACCAGCUAUUUUUGGAAAGUUUUCAUUUUUUUUGAGAAAUAUUGUAGAUUUGAGUUUAUCAUUUAGAAAUUAGGAUAACAAGAAUUUUAUGGAUAGAUGAGUAUUCUUUCAUAAUUUUCAUCAAUAUGUUGUAUUUUAAAAUAAUUUUCUUAAAAACUGCUAUUAUUUGAAAGUUUUUAUUUU